CUCUCUUUAUACUUUCGAAUAAAAGUUACUGUUUAAUCUUUUUUCACCAUUUACUGUUUGGAAAAACCUCAAUUUAACGUGGGUUUGUUUUGGUUACUUAGUUUUUACGUAGACGAUGUGCCAAUAAGAGAAUACAAAAACAACGAAGCCAAGAACAUUGCUUACCCAACAUCACAACCUAUGGGAGUUUACUCAACAUUAUGGGAAGCCGAUGACUGGGCGACACGUGGCGGAUUAGAGAAAAUUGAUUGGAGCAAAGCUCCGUUUUAUGCUUAUUACAAAGAUUUCGACAUCGAAGGUUGUCCUGUUCCCGGACCAACCUUUUGUCCAUCGAACCCUCACAAUUGGUGGGAGGGUUAUGCCUAUCAGUCUCUUAACGCCCUCGAAGCUCGACGUUACCGGUGGGUUAGAGUAAACCAUAUGGUUUAUGAUUAUUGUACCGACCGGUCUAGGUUUCCUGUCCCACCACCGGAGUGUCGUGCUUGAAAAUAAUUCCA
rnacentral:lncRNA from 1 species